rnacentral:lncRNA from 1 species
AUUGAAGAGAGUAUGCAUGCCGGACUCAAUACUGCUUUCACUAAUGAAUUCUUUUAAUUUCGGGCAACACCCAAUCGUUAGCUCUUUCAACGAAGGGAAUUCGAUAUUAUAAUUUCCUGAGCAGAAGGAGAUGAGGUUUGGAAGGAAAUCCAUACGCAGAAAGUUUAAUCGGCGGAAACAAAUCACAUUAUUCAUUUCUUCUUCUUCUUCUAUUUCCUCUGUAAAUAUUAUCUCCCUUAAGGACUCACAAUGCACUAUCUCAAAGCGGUGGAGCAGCACCAGACUCCUGGCGACAGAGGGUGAUAACAGAUGCUCCAACUUGCCGCAUCCACUGAUGAUCAACCUCCUCAAAUUCGAAUAUGUCUGCUUGUGCCAUAUUAUGUUGUUGUUAAUGGAAUGAUGGAAAACAAGUUGCAUACAUUUACAAACAAUUCUUUUCUUCUAAAAAUCUAAAUGGAAGGGAAACGAAAAGAUAAUACGUAACAUAAUUUGGAAAUAUGGUUUUCGAUUUUAAAGAAUUUUAGUUCGAACUGUGAAAUCCAAUUACAUUUUCAUAAUUUUUGUGUAUUGAAUUGAUUUUGGAUUUUCGAUCAGUUUGGAUUAAAAUUUAAAUUUUGGGUUUAAAAUUUAUUUUGUAACCUUAAAAACCAUUGGAUAAUUAAUUAUUUUAUUAUUAGAAAUUUAAGGUUAGUGGAUCAAAUAAUUAUUUAAUAAUUAUAACUUUUUGAUGAUGUCACUAAAUAGUUGCAGUAUAAAUAAAAGUUGUAAAAGAAUAUAUGAAUAAUGUCAAACAAAUACCUGAUUAAUUAAAAGUGGUUGGGGCUCAAAACUCGUGGAACACCUUUCCUCUUGACAGCAAAAGCUAAUAAGUUGCGGCAGCUGCUCAAGUGUUAUGGAACGUAAUUCAGAAAACUUAAUUUUGUUCAUUGUGAUAUAUUGCACCUGCAUACCAUUUCGGACAUGAAGAGACUGUAAAUGUGGAAAAUCGUUCCCUUUAUUUAACUCUGCAAGUACAUUCUUGAUGCCUUCAAGUCCUUUUAGGUCUAGGUACAAAUCUUCAGCCUUUCCCAGCAACAUUUUCACCCCAUUAUCCAAACAAAUGUUUGAAUAUAACUGGAGCGCCAAUCUCCUUGAACAUUCAUGUCUUGGAGGCCAGUUGGAUAUAAGAUGAUCACCUACAAAAAUCCUGUAUCUGUUCAAUGUCUCAAUGAAUCGAUGCUUUGGAAUCAUUUGGAUAUCAGGAAUACGAACAUAUAAAGUAGUUAGACGAGACAAAUUGUUUAAUUCAUCAAGGCUUGCAUUUCUCCUCUCGUUGUCAACAACUCCUUCAUUUUCCCAUUCAACAAAGCUUCCCUCCAUAUAUAAUUCUUCUAAUUUAGACAAACUUGAUAAGACAUUUGGCGGGAUGAUUUUGAGUGCUCCACACCAACUCAAAUCUAACAACCGUAACCGAGUCAAUUGUGCUAUCUUCUUGGGUAAUUCUUUGAUCCUUGACAAGGCAAGGUCAAGGAUUUCUAAAUUUUUAAGCUCUCCAAUGAUUGUUAUGUCUUCAACUCGCCAUCCUCUUAAACACAACAUGCGAAGAUUUAUGAGGUUAAUAAUUGACCCCGGUAGGUGAAUAAUUGACCCCGGUAGGAAGGUAAAUGAAAGUUCGUGAGGUAAAUCCAAGACUUCGAGACUUUUAAUUCGUCCGAAAAAAUCGGGAGGAAUUGCCACUGAAUCAUCAUGGGCCAUAUGGAAAAAGGAAAGACCUGAAUACUCCAUCUCCCUAGGAAGCUCGGCUACAAUUUGAGGACAAGGUAAGCUUAUCACUCUCAAGCUGUUCAUUUUCGCCUUAUCGGACCACUCCUUUGGAAUAUGAUCUCUCAAAACAAGCAUAUGGUAGUCCUUCGAUGCAAUAGCUAAAGCAGCAUCCCAAACAACAUCAUGGAUAUCAAAGUGCUCAUCAUCAUAACUAUCAAGCAACAGGGAAGACGCUUUGAGAUUAGCCACAACCGUCAAUACUUCAUUUCUAGCUUCUUCCAUAGUGUUGACACCACCAAAUAAACCCAAACCCACAGUAUAUCUCAUCAACUUCUCAACCAGACCAUUAUGGCCUAUUACACAGCAAAGCAAGAAAGUCAGCUUAACUUCCUCACUUUCUAAAUAAUUAAAACUCCACUCAAUAGCUGAAUAUGCUGCAGCUAUCCCCGUGAAGUUGCUUGAUGAAGGCCUCUCUAGUUCUCGUAAAGCAUUCUUCCACUCAAACAAUCUUUUGUUUCUCAAAGCCCCUGCAACUGUCGCAAUGGCUAUGGGCAAUCCUGCACAUUUUUUGGCUACUUCCAUAGCUAUAGGCUUCGAAUCGCAACUUUCAACACAACCGCCAGCCUUCUUCUUGAACAGGUCCCAGGCCUCCUUUUCAUUUAGAAACCCUAUUGCAAAACAUUUCUGAGCAUCCAUCCCAUUUGAUAAAACAUUUAGCUCUCUAGAAGUUAGCAGCAACUUGCAUCCCUUGUGCUCAUCUCCCAAAGGGAUCCCAACUUCCUCAAUAUCAACCUUUGCCCAAAUGUCAUCCAAGACAACCAGAACCCUCUUCUCUUUCUUCAAUCUUUCUCGUAGUCGAAGUGCCUUUACAUCAGUACUCGGCUCCUCAAAAUUCAAGCCCAAUAACUCUGCAAUUCUGUUCUGAAUUUUCUCAAUAUCAAUGGUUUGAGUUACUGUUGCUAUGACAACCGAAUCAAAUAAAUUGCCCUUGACCUUUCUAGCGAUUUCUUUGACUAGCAUUGUUUUUCCGAUCCCACCCAUACCGUGCACCCCAAUAACGCUGACGCUAUCAUCAUUUAGUGCCUCCAUUAUUCCAUUCAAAACCAACGUUCUUGACUCGAAAUCCUCGUACCCUUUAACUGGUGGGACAGCGAUACCUUGCAGAGGCAUAGGAUAAGAAACCUCGUCAAACUUGCCCUGUUCAAGUAGCUCGGCAACAGCCUUCGCCUCCGCUGCAGCUUUCAGGCUAUGCUUGUAACGAGUCCAAAAAUUAGGACACAAACCAAUGAAACACUUUUUCUUUGCUUUUUCUUCAUCUUGCAUCACUUUCUCUACUUGUUCAGUGAUCUUCCUGUCCACUGCAGACAACCAUUUGUCAACAUCGCCUUCGAUCUCUUUGCCGUUUCGUAAAGCUGCAUCAACAGAAUGCUGUACUCUGUCCCUUGCAUCUUUCAGCUUCUCAGCCUUGUCCUUGAGGGUCUCAACAUUUUGCUGAUGAUUGGAAAGGUAUUUGACAUGGUUUAUGAUAGGAGAAAUCGUAUACUCUGCAGCUUUAGUGAAAAUAGAGCUAACGAUGCCAAUAACGAACUCCAUUGAGAGAGCAAACAGCAAGUAAACUGAAAAACCACAGCCGCAACAGAAAUCAAAACAAAACCAGAAGAAAAAAGUACAAGUAAAAAUAAGUAAAAAGUAGAGCUUCUGUAAACAAACAAGUAAGACCAAAAUGAAAGCAGAUGGCGUACUUUUCCAAAAUGAAAAUAAUUUGCCUUAACGGAGUAAAGCGAGUAGUAAUUUGAGAAAAGGCAAGUCAAUGAAAAAGUAAGCAAGUUUCAAUUGUAUUGUAUGUUCAAAAAGCAUGCAUUACUUUCGCGGAUACAACGAAAAAGUGAAGAAGACAACAGACAUGAUGACCCAACACGCCCAUGCUUUUUCAUUUAUUGCAAUUUUUUUUUGUACACUAAUUGUGAAAAACUAUUUUCAUUUUUUUAAAAUUAUUCUCUCUUUAGUCAUGUGACAUUAAUUCAAUAUUAUUUUAUACUCAUUUUAGUCACCUAAUUUUAAUAAAUUUUUAUUUUGAUCACUCAUUUCAUGUUUUAAAUUAAUUUUAUUUUUUUCAAAAAAAUAUUUUUCUUUUUCUUUGCAACUCCAUUUUCUAUAAAAACCAAGAUAAUUCAUUGAAAAAACUCAAGUUUUUCUCUUGUUAAUGAAUAAAAACUAAAAUGAAAUUGCAAUAACAUUAAAUUAAAUUUAUUGGUGAGUGGCCAAAAUAAAAACAAUUUUAAUCCUAAACCCUAAAAUAAAAAUAAAUUUUAAUAAUAGUGCCUAAAAUGAAAAUUUUUAUUUUUUAGUACUAAAAAUAAAACUUUUUGACAAACUGUGACCAAUUAUAUAGUUUUCCCUAAAAUACUUUAGCUUGAUUAAAAUAGCCUUAUCUUUUUUUAACUUUAUUUUUUAUUUAUUAAUUUACAUUCUAUUUUUGUAAAGGUCACGAAAGAAAGGAGCAAGGUGUGACCAAUUAUUGAGUUGGGGGCUUAAUGGGAAUACUAGGCUAUUUUACUAAAAUAGUCUAAAAAAAUAUUAUAUUUAUAAAAAUAACUCAAGUUUAAAAAUAAUCAUGAAAAUAAUUAUGUUUACAGAAUAAUCACCUAUGAUUGUCUGAUAAUUGUGUCAGAUUUUAAAAAAAUAAUUUUUUGGGUUUUGGCCUGUUAAUGGGCGGAACUCGUGUAUUUUUUUAAAUUGUAUAAUAUUAAUAUAAGAAAAAAGAAAAAGAACAAAAAAUUGGGUGCUGGCCUGUCAAUGGCCUGCACCGAGUACAGCAGAGUAAAAAAAAAUUUUUUUGGGUGCUGGCCUGUCAAUGGCUGACACCCAGUACAGUAAAAAAAUUCGAAUUUUGGUCUAUCAAUGACCGGCACCAAAGUAUGAAAAAAAGUAAAAAAAUAUUUUUUUUGGGUGCUGGCCUGUCAAUGGCCGGCACCCAGUACAGUAAAAUUUUUUUUUAUUUUUUUUAAAAAUAUAUAUUUUUUAGUAUUGACUUAUUAAUGGCCUACACUCAGUACGGUAAAAAAAUUUACUUUUUUUCCUUUGUACUUAUUGUAUGUUCAAAAAACAUGUAUUACUUUCGCGGAUACAACUAAAAAGUGAAGAAGACAACAGAUAUAAUGACCCACCACGCCGAUGCUUUUUCAUUUAUUGCAAUUUUUAUUCGUACACUAAUUGUUGUUGAAGUUAGGUAGCAUUAAAUGUUGGGUAAAUUCCACAAUUGGUCAUUUAGGCAUUGCAGUCAAAAAUUAUUUUUAAAAUCUUUAGUCACGUGACAUUAAUUCAAUAUUAUUAUAGACUUAUUUUAAUCACCUAAUUUUAAUAAAUUUUUAUUUUAAUCACUCAUUUCAUGUUUUAAAUUAAUUUUAUUUUUUUUCAAAAAAAUACAUUCCUUUUUCUCUGCAACUCCAUUUCCUAUAAAAGCCCAAAUAAUUCAUCAAAAAAACCCAAGUUUUUCUCUUGUUAAUGAAUAAAAACUAAAAUGAAAGUGCAAUAACAUUAAAUUAAUGGUGAAUGGCCAAAAUAAAAACAAUUUUAACCAUAGUGCCUAAAAUGAAACUUUUUAUUUUUUAGUACCAAAAAUAAAACUUUUUGAAAAACGGUGACCAAUUAUAUAGUUUUCCCUAAAAUAUUUUAGCUUGAUUAAAGUAGACUUAUCUUUUUAUAACUUUAUUUUUUAUUUAUUAAUUUAUAUUCUCUUUUGGUAAAUGUGACAAAAGAAAGGAACAAGGUAUGACCAAUUAUUGAGUUGGGGGCUUAAUGGGAAUACUAUUUUGGUACUGUGUUUUGCAGGUAAAUUCGAAAAAAGAUAUUAUAAAAAUCUGUUGGAAAAAUAUCAACACAUAGAUCAAAAGCUAUCAACAUAUCUAUAUAACUAUUUAUAUAUAUGGCUAAAUUAGCCAAAAAAAGCAGAUUUAAAAAAAAAAUUGUUGUUUAGGCCCAUGUUUGACAUAUUUUUCGUAAUAGUUUAAUUUUUAAUAGAAAAACUAAAAAUGUGUAAGAAAGCACGAUACCCUUACCCUUACUUGACAUCGACAUUAAUUUAAACUUUAAAGUUUAAAAAAACUUAACAAAAAUCAAAAGUAUUGGUACACUUGACAUCGACAUCAAUUUGAAUUUUAAAGUUCAGAAAAAUUGAACAAAAAUUAAAAAUAUUAAUACACUUGAGAAAGUAUCGAUACUUUUCACCAUGUAUUGAUACCAUCAUCAAUCUUUCAAAAUUCUAUGUUUUUUUUUUGUUCAUUUUCAUAUGUAUUUUUCUUCUCAUAUUUUACCAUUUCUCAACCUGUUUGUUUACCUUACAAGUUUAUCAUAUCUAAAACAUGAUUUUAGCAAAGCUGCUAUUGUGGAACCAAAAAUAUUUUGUAUUUAUGAUUUAAAUGAAGGAAAUUUUUUUUUACUAUUUCUACAUUUCACAUUACUUUUUUGUGAAAAAAAUUAGAAAGUGGGAGACUUUCAAGUAAAUGUUGGGGAAAAGCAGGAUCAAUCAAUGAAGGAUAGUUUCAGCAAGGUCCCCAUAGUGGAGCCACCAUUGAUAAUUUCCUUUCAUUUUUGGAAAACAAUAGAAAAAUGUAAGUUUUGAUUUAAAAAAUGAAUGUAAUUUUUUUUUUGAGAUGAUAUUAAGAAAAUAUACAACUAGUUACACGAAAAAACUACUGAAAACCAAAACUAUUAGCUUUAUCCAUGUCUAAGAUUUCUUGAAUCUCUCUAGGAGAAGAAUCAAGUAUUUGCAACUCUUCCUUUCUUCUAAGAGCCAAUUUGGUUAUAGCGUCCACAACCUAAUUAUUCUCCCGAGAUAUAUGUUUUACAGGCCACUAGCCUUCGUGAGUCAAUAGGUAUUGGAUCCUCCUGAUUAGAGCAAAAUUCAAUAUGGUUGAUAUGCUAUCUUGAAUUGAUUUAAUAGCCUCCAAAUUAUUUGAUUGGACUAUCACCUUAUCAUGCCAAUCUGUUUCAUAGUAGGUUAAUACCAACCAAAAUGUUCCAUAAUUCAGUGUCAAAAGUUGAGUACUUCCCCAAAUGAUGAUUAUAUCCGAGAAUCCAAAACAAUGAAUAAAGCAAGAACUUUUAGGUUAGUUUUGAAAAAAGUCAAAACAAAAUAAUAACGUGGUAUGUUUGAAAUUAGUCCCUUUAUUUUUCUUUAUAAAUUUGAAAUUUUGUCAUGAUACUUUUAUUUUAAAGAAUUUAGUCUAUUUAUUUUUACAUUUCAAAAUUUAAGUCUAAACUAUUAGUAUUGUUAAAAUUAUUUUAUUAAAUUCAAGUUCAUUAUAAUAAUGUUAUUUCCUUAAUUACAUUGCUAUCAAGUAGGGGAGAAUCCAAAAGGGUAGGCAAAGGCCUUGAUCUCUUGGAUAAUAUUGGUAAAUCCUGGCUUCGCCUUUGGUAUCCAAUGAGUUUUUUUUUUUCUAAAGCAUGUAAUCAAUCAACAAUUUAUAGAGUUAAAUAAGUCGUUUUAAGAUUUGAUAAAAUUUUAUUUUUUAAAAAAACUAAAAAAUUUAUAGAGGACUAAAUAAGACUGCUUGGAAUAGGAAUUUGCGAAUUUUGUGUUCUUCAAUAUUUAAAUCGACUAAAAACAUAAAAGCUUAUGCCCUACCAGUUUUUGUACUUUUAGAGAGAGAAAAAAGAUUCAAAUAAAAAUAUUUAAUAGUAGAAUUUCUCAUUACUAAAAUUUUAAUAAAUUAAUACAACCAAUAAAAUUAAUUUAAUAAAAUAAAAAUCAAUUAUGGUUUGAAUAUUUAUUAUUUAAAACAAUAAGUGUUUCCUUAUCUAUUAAGUGUUUGGUGGAUGUUCAAUUCUUUUGUCAAUUUUUGCUCGCCGCUUUGGGCUAUCCGAGGCUAAUUUCCUUAUCUAAGUGUUUGCAACCAUUUCAGAUAUGUCGUGCUUGAGUUGUGACAAAGUUAAUUGUCAACGUGUCAUAAUGUUCUAAAGCCUUAGAAUUCAAUUAAACAUAAACAAGUCAUGCCCAAAUUUGGUGUUUGAUUUUUAUGAUUAAAUCCUAACAAAAUCAAUAUUAAAUCAAACGAAUCUAGAAUAGAUGGAUUUUUUUUUGUUGUUUUAAAAGAUCAUAAUACCUUAUAAAAAUUACACACCAUGAAAGUGGAAAGAAGAAUAGGAAGUAUGAUUUAAAAUUGAUAAACUAGCAUUGUUUAUGUAAUAGCCCGAUUUUCAGAAAUGUUGAAAAUAGUGGUACGAGAUCAUCAAAUUCAGAAAAUAAGCUCGUAAAUUUUAUUAUCAAUAAUUACGAGCCAAAUAUGAUUUUUAAGAGAUUUUUAAAUUAGUAAUUUGUAUUUUAUAAAAAAUUAUUAAGUCAAUAAAUUGAGGAAAAGAGUUAUCGAGACUUCGAUGUUAUAAACUGAGCCGUAAAUAUUUUUAUAAAUAUUUACGGAGUGUCAAUAUGGUAGUGUUAAAGUUCCGUCAGAAAAUUUUAAUGUUUUUGCAGUUAAUUAAUUAAAAAGAACUAAAUUGAAAAGAUGCAAAACUUGCUAAAGUGAUUAAAUAGCUUAACAAUUAAAUAAGGAAGGACUAAAAGAGAAAAUGGACCAAUUUAAGUGGCUGAGAUGGCAUACCGUUAAAAAAAUCUAACAUUUUUAUGUAUUAAGGACAAAUUUGGAAUUACAAUAAAGUUUAUGUGGCCAAAUUUUAUUUUAAGCAUUUCAAGACCAUUUCUUCUGGAAAUUUCGGUGGGAGACAGCCAUGGAAGAGGGUUUGGAGCUGGUAUUCCAUAUUUUGGCUUCAAGUAAGUUUAAUUCUUGCUUUGUCCUUGAAAUUUUUAUAUUUUUAGACUUUUACAAUUAGGUCCAACUUAGUAUUCUACUAGUUUCUCAUUUUGUUGAAAGUUUUGGAAGAUACUAAUGAUAAGUUCAUAUGAUUUUUGUUAUUUUGUGAUGAAAUUGAGAUGUUAAUGGAUGUUUAAAGGUGUUUUAUUAAAGAAUUUUAGAUGAAAACAAGUUUUAGGGAUUAAAUUGAAAAGUAUUGAAAUCAUGAAGAAAUUCUAAAAUUUCAUGGAAUCCAUGGGCUGUUAUUGAUAUGUAUGGGAAAUACUAGGCUUGAAUCAAGGAUUAUAUUGCAAGAAUUUCAUUUUCCAAGCCUAGGGACGAAAUUAUCAUAUAUUAAAAGUUUAGAGUCAAAUUGGUAAUCAAUAUAUUACACUAAACAGUUUUGGGCAGCAGCAGUGGCCUAAUUUUGAAAAAUCACCAAAAAUUGUGAGAAUUGAAAUAGAAGAUGAAUAAAAUAUAAAAUUAAAGCUUAUUGAGUCUAGUUUUUUUAUAGAAGAAAUGGUGUGAGCAAUGGAAUUGUAAAUUAUAAGAUAUAAUAAGUUUUGUGAGACAAUGUCAGAAUGAUUUGGGGUUUCCCUGUUCUGAUUUUGGAAAAUCAUCAAAAAUUUAAGAAAAAUAUUUAUGAGCUAUAAUUUAUAUGUUUAGAAUCCUUGGUGAGUCUAUUUUCAAAUGAAAUAAACGGAAACAUCAUCUGAAUUCUGUACAAUUAGAUAAUUCAUUUUUAGUAGAGAGUGGUCGGAACUGUCAGACAGCAAAACAAGAGAAACUUUAAAGAAUAAAUUGUAUUAAUUUGCUAAACCAAAAAUUCUGAAAAUUUUAUGGUAAGAAGAUAUGUGAGUCUAGUUUCAAGGAAAUUUUACGGAUCUUAAUUUGGAGCUCUUUAGCUCCAGAUAAAAAUAAUUGACUCUGACUCGGAUAAACAGCUUUGAAUAUAUAUGUGAGUGAAUAGUGAAAUUAUAGUUAAUGUUGUUUAAGCGUGUUAUAUACAUUAAGGAUGUGGAAUGGAGAGGAGGAGGAGAAAAAUUGGAAAAUAUAUGAUUGAUUUGUGUAUAAUUGGUCAUAGGCUUGAUUAUAAUUGAUAAAUGAUGAAAUCGAAAUGAUGCUUGUAUUUGUGCAUUAUUGGUCAUGGUAUAAGUUUAUGUGUGAAAAUAAAGUUUCAUAGUAUGUUUGUAUGGUAUAUUCCGUAUAUGAUUUGGCAUGAAUGGUUUAUGAAUUAACACAUGUUGGCUUUGGCCAAGUAGUGAUUAGAUUAUGCCACGUUAAAUUUAUAAGUUAUGCACCACGCCUAUGCUUUUUCAUUUGGCCAAGUAAAAAUGAACAAAAAGUAAAGCUUCUGUAAACAAACAAGACAGAACAAAUGAAAGCAGAUGGCGUACCUUUGCAAAAUAUAACAAGUGUAUUGUAUGUUCAAAAAACAUGUAUUACUUUCGCGGAUACAACUAAAAAGUGAGGCUAUUUUACUAAACUAGUCUGAAAAAAUAUUAUAUUUAUAAAAAUAAUCCAAGUUCAAAAAUAAUUAUUAAAAUAACCUAAAAUGAACAGCACCCACUCGUUUUUUGCACCAAUGAUUGCCUAAUAAUUGUUUCAGAAUUAAAAAAUUAAUUUUUUGGGUUUUGGCCUGUCAAUGGCCGAAACCCAUGUAUUUUUUUUAAAUUGUAUAAUACUGAUAUACGAAAAAGGAAAAAGAAAAAAAAUAAAAAAAUUAAAUUUUUGGGUGAAGGCCUGUCAAUGGCCGGCACCCAAUAGUAACAAAAAAAUUUUUGAAUUUUUUUCGUGUCAGAAUCAGAUAUCAGUAUACGAAAAAAGUUGAAAAAAAUUUUUUUGGGUGCUGGCUUGUCAAUGGCUAGCACCCAGUACAAAUUUUAAAAAACAAUUUUUUUUCUUUUUUUCGUGUAAAAAUCAGAUAUCAGAAUACAAAAAAAGUAAAAAAAAAUUUGGGUGCUGGCAUGUCACUGGCCGACACCCAGUACAAAUUUAAAAAAAUUUCUUUUUUGCGUGUAAAAAUCAUAUAUCAGUAUACGAAAAAAGUUAAAAGAAAUUUUUUGGGUGCUGGCCUGUCAAUGGCCGGCACCCAGUACAAAUUAAAAUUUUUUUCGUGUAAAAAUCAGAUAUCAGUAUAUUGAUAUCUGAUUCUGACAUAAAAACAAUUCAAAAUUUUUUUUGUUACUAUUGGGUGCCGACCAUUGACAGGCCAACAGCCAAAAAAUUAAUUUUUUUCUUUUUUUCUUUUCUUUUUUCGUAUAUCAAUAUUAUACAAAUUAAAAAAAAAUACAUGGGUUUCGGCCAUUGACAGGCUAAAAUUCAAAAAAUUAAUUUUUUUAAUUCUGACACAAUUAUUAGGCAAUCAUUGGUGCAAAAAACGAGUGGGUACUGUUCAUUUUAAGUUAUUUUGGCGAUUAUUUUUGAACUUGGGUUAUUUUUAUAAAUAUAAUAUUUUUUUAGACUGAUUUGGUAAAAUAGCCAAAAAGUGAAGAAGACAACAGACAUGAUGACCCACCACGCCUGUGCUUUUUCAAUUAUUGCAAUUUUUAUUCGUACAAUAAUUGUUGAAGUUAGGUAGCAUUAAAUGUUGGGUAAAUUCCACAAUUGGUCAUUUAGGCAUUGCAGUCAAAAACUAUUUUCAUUUUUUUAAAAUUAUUCCCUCUUUAUAGUUAAUGUUGUUUAAGCGUGUUAUAUACAUUAAGGAUGUGGAAUGGAGAGGAGGAGGAGAAAAAUUGGAAAAUAUAUGAUUGAUUUGUGUAUAAUUGGUCAUAGGCUUGAUUAUAAUUGAUAAAUGAUGAAAUCGAAAUGAUGCUUGUAUUUGUGCAUUAUUGGUCAUGGUAUAAGUUUAUGUGUGAAAAUAAAGUUUCAUAGUAUGUUUGUAUGGUAUAUUCCGUAUAUGAUUUGGCAUGAAUGGUUUAUGAAUUAACACAUGUUGGCUUUGGCCAAGUAGUGAUUAGAUUAUGCCACGUUAAAUUUAUAAGUUAUGCACCACGCCUAUGCUUUUUCAUUUGGCCAAGUAAAAAUGAACAGAAAGUAAAGCUUCUGUAAACAAACAAGACAGAACAAAUGAAAGCAGAUGGCGUACCUUUGCAAAAUAUAACAAGUGUAUUGUAUGUUCAAAAAACAUGUAUUACUUUCGCGGAUACAACUAAAAAGUGAGGCUAUUUUACUAAACUAGUCUGAAAAAAUAUUAUAUUUAUAAAAAUAAUCUAAGUUCAAAAAUAAUUAUUAAAAUAACCUAAAAUGAACAGUACCCACUCGUUUUUUGCACCAAUGAUUGCCUAAUAAUUGUUUCAGAAUUAAAAAAUUAAUUUUUUGGGUUUUGGCCUGUCAAUGGCCGAAACCCAUGUAUUUUUUUUAAAUUGUAUAAUACUGAUAUACGAAAAAGGAAAAAGAAAAAAAAUAAAAAAAUUAAAUUUUUGGGUGCAGGCCUGUCAAUGGCCGGCACCCAAUAGUAACAAAAAAAAUUUUGAAUUUUUUUCGUGUCAGAAUCAGAUAUCAGUAUACGAAAAAAGUUGAAAAAAAUUUUUUUGGGUGCUGGCUUGUCAAUGGCUAGCACCCAGUACAAAUUUUAAAAAACAAUUUUUUUUCUUUUUUUCGUGUAAAAAUCAGAUAUCAGAAUACAAAAAAAGUAAAAAAAAAUUUGGGUGCUGGCAUGUCACUGGCCGACACCCAGUACAAAUUUAAAAAAAUUUCUUUUUUGCGUGUAAAAAUCAUAUAUCAGUAUACGAAAAAAGUUAAAAGAAAUUUUUUGGGUGCUGGCCUGUCAAUGGCCGGCACCCAGUACAAAUUAAAAUUUUUUUCGUGUAAAAAUCAGAUAUCAGUAUAUUGAUAUCUGAUUCUGACAUGAAAACAAUUCAAAAUUUUUUUUGUUACUAUUGGGUGCCGACCAUUGACAGGCCAACAGCCAAAAAAUUAUUUUUUUUCUUUUUUUCUUUUUCUUUUUUCGUAUAUCAAUAUUAUACAAAUUAAAAAAAAAUACAUGGGUUUCGGCCAUUGACAGGCUAAAAUUCAAAAAAUUAAUUUUUUUAAUUCUGACACAAUUAUUAGGCAAUCAUUGGUGCAAAAAACGAGUGGGUACUGUUCAUUUUAAGUUAUUUUGGCGAUUAUUUUUGAACUUGGGUUAUUUUUAUAAAUAUAAUAUUUUUUUAGACUGAUUUGGUAAAAUAGCCAAAAAGUGAAGAAGACAACAGACAUGAUGACCCACCACGCCUGUGCUUUUUCAAUUAUUGCAAUUUUUAUUCGUACAAUAAUUGUUGAAGUUAGGUAGCAUUAAAUGUUGGGUAAAUUCCACAAUUGGUCAUUUAGGCAUUGCAGUCAAAAACUAUUUUCAUUUUUUUAAAAUUAUUCCCUCUUUAUAGUUAAUGUUGUUUAAGCGUGUUAUAUACAUUAAGGAUGUGGAAUGGAGAGGAGGAGGAGAAAAAUUGGAAAAUAUAUGAUUGAUUUGUGUAUAAUUGGUCAUAGGCUUGAUUAUAAUUGAUAAAUGAUGAAAUCGAAAUGAUGCUUGUAUUUGUGCAUUAUUGGUCAUGGUAUAAGUUUAUGUGUGAAAAUAAAGUUUCAUAGUAUGUUUGUAUGGUAUAUUCCGUAUAUGAUUUGGCAUGAAUGGUUUAUGAAUUAACACAUGUUGGCUUUGGCCAAGUAGUGAUUAGAUUAUGCCACGUUAAAUUUAUAAGUUAUGCACCACGCCUAUGCUUUUUCAUUUGGCCAAGUAAAAAUGAACAGAAAGUAAAGCUUCUGUAAACAAACAAGACAGAACAAAUGAAAGCAGAUGGCGUACCUUUGCAAAAUAUAACAAGUGUAUUGUAUGUUCAAAAAACAUGUAUUACUUUCGUGGAUACAACUAAAAAGUGAGGCUAUUUUACUAAACUAGUCUGAAAAAAUAUUAUAUUUAUAAAAAUAAUCUAAGUUCAAAAAUAAUUAUUAAAAUAACCUAAAAUGAACAGCACCCACUCGUUUUUUGCACCAAUGAUUGCCUAAUAAUUGUUUCAGAAUUAAAAAAUUAAUUUUUUGGGUUUUGGCCUGUCAAUGGCCGAAACCCAUGUAUUUUUUUUAAAUUGUAUAAUACUGAUAUACGAAAAAGGAAAAAGAAAAAAAAUAAAAAAAUUAAAUUUUUGGGUGCAGGCCUGUCAAUGGCCGGCACCCAAUAGUAACAAAAAAAAUUUUGAAUUUUUUUCGUGUCAGAAUCAGAUAUCAGUAUACGAAAAAAGUUGAAAAAAAAUUUUUUGGGUGCUGGCUUGUCAAUGGCUAGCACCCAGUACAAAUUUUAAAAAACAAUUUUUUUUCUUUUUUUCGUGUAAAAAUCAGAUAUCAGAAUACAAAAAAAGUAAAAAAAAAUUUGGGUGCUGGCAUGUCACUGGCCGACACCCAGUACAAAUUUAAAAAAAUUUCUUUUUUGCGUGUAAAAAUCAUAUAUCAGUAUACGAAAAAAGUUAAAAGAAAUUUUUUGGGUGCUGGCCUGUCAAUGGCCGGCACCCAGUACAAAUUAAAAUUUUUUUCGUGUAAAAAUCAGAUAUCAGUAUAUUGAUAUCUGAUUCUGACAUGAAAACAAUUCAAAAUUUUUUUUGUUACUAUUGGGUGCCGACCAUUGACAGGCCAACAGCCAAAAAAUUAAUUUUUUUCUUUUUUUCUUUUUCUUUUUUCGUAUAUCAAUAUUAUACAAAUUAAAAAAAAAUACAUGGGUUUCGGCCAUUGACAGGCUAAAAUUCAAAAAAUUAAUUUUUUUAAUUCUGACACAAUUAUUAGGCAAUCAUUGGUGCAAAAAACGAGUGGGUACUGUUCAUUUUAAGUUAUUUUGACGAUUAUUUUUGAACUUGGGUUAUUUUUGUAAAUAUAAUAUUUUUUUAGACUAAUUUGGUAAAAUAGCCAAAAAGUGAAGAAGACAACAGACAUGAUGACCCACCACGCCUGUGCUUUUUCAAUUAUUGCAAUUUUUAUUCGUACAAUAAUUGUUGAAGUUAGGUAGCAUUAAAUGUUGGGUAAAUUCCACAAUUGGUCAUUUAGGCAUUGCAGUCAAAAACUAUUUUCAUUUUUUUAAAAUUAUUCCCUCUUUAGUCACGUGACAUUAAUUCAAUAUUAUUAUAUACUCAUUUUAAUCACUCAAUUUUAAUAAAUUUUUAUUUUAAUCACUUAUUUUAUAUUUUAAAUUAAUUUUAUUUUUUUCAAAAAAAAACCUUCAUUUUUGUCUGCAACUCCAUUUUCUAUAAAAACUCAAAUAAUUCAUCGAAAAAAACUCAAGUUUUUCUCUUGUUAAUAGUGAGUGACCAAAAUAAAAAUAAUUUUAACCGUAGUGCAUAAAAUGAAAAUAAUUUUUAAUAAUAGUUCAUAAAAUGAAAUUUUUUUAUUUUUUAGUACCAAAAUAAAACUUUUUGAAAAACGGUGACCAAUUAUACAAUUUCCCCUAAAAUAUUUUAGCUUGAUUAAAGUAGCAUUAUCUUUUUAUAACUUUAUUUUUUAUUUAUUAAUUUAUAUUCUCUUUUGGUAAAGGUGACAAAAGAAAGGAACAAGGUAUGACCAAUUAUUGAGUUGGGGGCUUAAUGGGAAUACUAUUUUGGUACUGUAUUUUGGAGGUAAAUUCGAAAAAAGAUCUUAUUAAAAUCUGUUGGAAAAAUAUUAACACAUACAUCAAAAGCUAUCAACAUAUCUAUAUAACUAUUUAUAGCCAAAAAAAACAAAGCAGAUUUUUUAAAAAAAAUGGUUGUUUAGGCCCAUUUUUGACAUAUUUAUGGUAAUAGUUUAAUUUUUAAUAGAAAAAGUAAAAAUGUGUAAGAAAGCACGAUACAUUUACCCUUACUUGACAUCGACAUCAAUUUGAACUUUAAAGUUCAAAAAACCUUAACAAAAAUUAAAAGUAUUGAUACACUUAAGAAAAUAUCGAUACCUUUCACCAUGUAUUGAUACCAUCAUCAACUUUUCAAUAUUCUAUCUAUGUUUUUCUUUUGUUCAUUUUCAUAUGUAUUUGUCUUCGCAUAUUUUACCAUUUCUCAACUUGUUUGUUUACCCUACAAGUUUAUAUAUUUAAAACAUGAAUUUAGCAAAGCUGCUAUUGUGGAACCAAAAAAUAUUUUGUAUUGAUGAUGAGAUUUAUGGAACUUACAAAUUGGCUAUCAGGCCUUGAAAGAAUGGGUGGUAGUGGUGGUGGCAGCUGCUUCCUUGUGAGGCUGCUAUAGUGGCACUUUCCUUAAACUAAUAUUGUAAAGGUACUCCCAUUUUUAAUGGUAUCUCGCUCUCUCUAUUCUAAUAAUGUUUUCUUUUCUCUCCAUUAAAUUAUAGAAAAAAGAUUUUGGUAUCGGAGGAUUCACCAUGUAUCCAUCUUCUAAAGUUAGGAGAAGACUACCAUUAGAAAGUAGCAUUACACAAAGCAUCUCUCUUUCCCCACAUUGUCGAUAAAUCUCUGUAAUCCAAUUAACAGAUUUAUAAAUUCCAUUGUAACUCUAAACAUAAGAAACAAUACCUGCAAGGGUACGGAUAUUAAAAAUGCAUCAUCCUAGACACAAUGUCAUUUUCUCUCUUCAAAAUCGGCCUAUUCCAAUAAAUAUAUAAAAAAUAAGCCUAAACAACCAAAUUUUUUCUUAAAUCGGCCUUCCUGACUAAUUUAGAUUUUAUAUAAGAACGAUGAUUUAUGCUUCACAUAAAUUAGAUCAAUAAUCGAAGUAAGUAUAUAAGUGGGUGUGAACUUAUUAAAAAUAUCAAGAAAGUAACAUAUAUAUAAUUAAAUAUAUAAUUAGUUAACUAAUGAGGUGUCACAAAUACUAGAGUGCUACGUUCAAAAUUGAAAAAAAUUAUUAAAUUUUAAAAUUAUGUGAAAAAAAAUUACAGAUCAAAUUAAAAGAAAAUGUCAUGUUCGGAACUAAAUGUUGACUAACCUUCAUUUAUUAACCCAAAUGUUAAUAGGAUUAAAUAUCUUAAAGUAAUUUUAAUCUCUAAAAUUUAACACGAUUGAAAGUUUUUAAUUUUUUUUAGGCAUAAUAAUAAAUUUAGCUUCUAAUAUUUAUUGUUUUUUACUUUAAUCUUAAUUUUUUAUUGCUUUAACUCUCAACCUUACAAAUAUAAUCAAAUUGUUUUUCACUUUAGUCUUAAUUUUGUUCUCCUCUCUAAUGGGGUUUUCAAGGACAAGAAGAUCAUACUCUCUUAUUGCUCUUAGCUUUCUCACCAUUUCAUUUCUACGUUUAUGAUAAUACUCUAAAAUGACAUAUUUUUAUGUAUUAAUUACAUAUUUAUUUUGAGUACGAUCUUAUUAAUUUGUACUUUUUAUGAUUUUUUAUUUUGUAGGGAUUAAAUUGCAGGCAAAAGGAAUUUCCCCUUCUCACUACAAGUGAGCUUUUUCCCUGUUGCGAUCUCUUUGUUCUGUAUCGGCCUUCCGAGUAACAUGAUUACUAGUCUCUUGUUUAUGUAUGUAUCAGUGGCAUAGAUUGGAAUGAGCCAGGAGUAAGGAAUUGUUCAAGGCAGACGACACCAUUCAAGGGAUCGAUUUAUCCAACUGGUUUGCCUCUGGCAGAGUACGUAGUUAAAGAGGUCAUAAGGAACAUCAAGAAACCUGUUCAUUUGCUUGAUAUUACAAUGCUCUCUCAAUUAAGAAAAGAUGCACAUCCUAGCACUUACAAUGACUUCAACGGCAUGGAUUGCACCCACUGGUGCGUUGCCGGCCUCCCCGAUACAUGGAAUCUACUUCUGUAUGCAGCUCUCAUCAAAUAGUAGAGAAAUUUGGUUCAGGCACUAGCCACCCAACAUAUAUGUGGUCUCCUUAAAUUAUUUAUUUUGCUUACUCAAAAAAGAUCAUAAGAUUAUACAUUGAAAAUAUAAUAAAUUUGUUUACUUCUGUUUGCAGUUCUCAAUUAUGCAUGUGAUGUAAUUCAAUUAUUUAUGGCAUUGGUUUGUUUUCUUCUUGCUUUAGAUUGUUUCUCCUAUUGCCUAAAAAAAGAGAAUUGGUGAUAUUAUGAUUGUGAGGAUGAAUAUGAGAAUCCUGGGAUUGAAGAGAUAUUAGCUUCAACUUUUCAUCAAAAUACUGAAAUAAGUACAUAAUAUUCUUUAUAGAGAGAACAAAAAAAGAAGAAACAAGCACACGCAAAAUGAGUAGCAAUCUUAAUUAAAUCAUCUAAUCCCCCAAGCUGAUACAAAAAUACCAGCAAAAAGUAUAAUGUGGCUGAAAUACAUCCAUAAAACUGGGGUCAACCUUACUACUAAAAGUUUUCAUGUUUGUAAUUCCCAGUGCCAAGCAUGAUGCACUUCAAAAUCAAUACUUUGGUAAUAAUGUGAAAUGCAACAGUUCAAUAGUGGAUUUGCAAAAACAGAAUAAAGGAAAGUGGACGCCCCCAUACUCCAACAGAGCAACUCAACCUACAAUGAAAAAGGCAUUUCCAUGGUCACUUUGUAAAGCAUUAGUUAAGCCAUGAUGAAAAUAGAAGAGUAAAUUACCAUUUGGUUUGAAUUGAAAUGAAACUGAGCUUGUCUCACACGCACCCCAACAUAUUUCCUUAUUUCAUUUGGAGCAACUGAUCAGUAACCUCGACCGCUUGAGAAUUUUGAACAUUCUGUACGUGCGUGAUCAAAAGAAACAAUUAUAAAGAAAGGUAAAACCAACGUUUUCAAAAGUAAAACACUUUAAAAUGAUUGGUACCAUUUGAUCGAACAUAUGCUUUAUGGUGGUGUUAAGGUCGCCUUCCCACUGCAGUUCACCAUCCUCAUCUCUUGUUAAGUGCAUUUGUUCCAGCCUUGGUGUGCUUAACUCCCCUUGAGAGAAAUUCUUCAUUUUGGGGCAGUCUGUCACUAUCACCAUUUGCAAGACUGGGAACUCCAACGAGUGAUGCGCCAAUGAAAAGCUUGCUAUACUUGGCAGAUGACUUAGUUGCAAAUACUUCAGCUUGGGAAAAACAAUGCUGGCCUGUAAGUCUUCACCUUCACAUGAUAUGAUUUCUUCUAUCAACUCAGAAUCAGCUAUGCUCAAUCUUUCUAGUAGUGUCAGGCUCUUAGCUGUCGAGCAUGCCAUUAGAUUGAUGAAUCCAUGGCAUCUUGAAACUUCCAUACUUAAUAGAUUUUUGACAGACAACAAAAAUGGCUCUAAAGUCUUUAAUGUUAGCUCUGGAAGUUGAGACAACCUUAAGGCCUCUAACUGAUAGCAUGCCCAUGUGUGCCUUUCCUCGUUGAUGAGUCCUUCAAACCGGACUAUUUCAGAAAUGGAGGCAUUGUUUAUAACAAGCUUCUCAAGCUUUGGUAGUGACUGAAUGAAGGAAUAUGGAAGAGUAGUAGAUGUCUCAGGAAAGAAUUGGAGGUUAAGAAGUUUGAGGUUUGGGAAACACUGCAAUGAGAGUUGUCCAUCACAUAUCCCCUUUAUCAUAUCAUUCGUCUUCAGUGUUAAUUCUUGUAAAACAGGGAAAGUGUCCUGGACAACAACAAAUAUAUUGAACAUUGACUAAGGAGUUUUAAAUUUGAGUUAGUUCAAAAGGCAACUUAUAGGGAACCUCAUUUGAUUUGAAUAUAAAUUCAAGUAAUGAACAUGGAAUAUAAACUAUCAGUGAGCAGACCUCAUUGACGCAAAACAAGGGUUGUUGGUUUGGGAUUUCAACCUCACCAAAUAUCUGUGCUUUGGGGCAUUCAAUAACCUUCAUAAAUUUCAAUGACGGCCAUUGGGUGGUAUGCAUCCUAGAGCAGAAACUUUUCAAACUCGGCACCUUAUCCAGUCCAAGGUGCGUUAGACGGGGAAAUACAAACUUGGUCAUCACUGUUUCUGCCAUAGUAGACCGAGUAGCUGAUGUUGACUGUGCUUCAUUGGCAUUGAGUGCUUGCAGCUCAAUUAUUUCUUCUAACGAAUCACAGCCCUGAAUCAGCAACUUCUUCAACCAAGGGAAAACAACCUAAUACAUCAUUAGAUUGGGUUAAUAACUGAAAUAUGUUGAAAUGAAAAAGAUUAAUGAAAGAAGUAAAAGGAGAAGAGAACAAUAGUAAAGUAAAAGAGGAAGAAAUGACCUUUUGAUUGAGGACAGCAGAGUUAUUUGUUUGUGUAGGUUGGUGAAUUUGAGUUUCAUCUCCACAUACAGAUUUAGAGAUGAUUGUUCUCAGCAGAGGACAAUUUGUUAGUGUUAAAUCUCUUAAGUAUGGGAAUUCAAAGCCAUUCUCAAAGCAGGUAUCUUUGAGUUUGGGAGGGUCUUCCAGACACAGGGACUGCAGUGUAGGGAACAUCUGAUUCCUCUCUGGUGAGUAGGAUGGGUGGUGCCAUAUCUUAUGAAUGUUAAUGGAGGACAACUUCAGAUUCAUCAAACGGGGAAUGACAACCUGUUGACAUAAAUAAUAUGAGUUUAGAUUUUAUGAAUAUAAAUAACAAUAUAAAUUAUAACACAUUUCUAUUUUCAUCAAAUAAAUUCAGUUGUAUUUUAAGGUUAGAGAAAAAAUUAGAAAAAAUAAUUUGUUUUUAAAAUGUCUUUCAAAUAAAUAUUUAUACUAUUAUUCAAAUACCAAACUUUUAAAACAAAAAUCAUAUAUUAAAAGUAUUAUAUAUGUACUUUAAUUUAUUUUAAAAAUAAGAUAAAAAUUAUUCUAUUGACGAUUCGAGUUUGGAUGCAUACUCAUAUCAGCACAACUAAAAUUUAAAUAAAGUGAAUAAAGUUUACGCUUCGCUCAAAUUCAUCAAAUAGAAAGAUGAUAUGAAUUAAUUAGUUCAGAUAAAGAUUGAAUGCCAAACUGACCUUGUCACAGAAUAAAGCGGCAGUAUCAUCUUCCACAUCUUGCUCGUCAAUCACUUUUUCACUCUUUCUUGAAAUUGUAGAAGAAAAUGCCCUCAUUUUUGCGCACUCAGCUAUCGUAAUAUCCCACAAAUUUGGAAUUUCAAGAGGUCGACUUCCCAAAUAAAAAUUUGUCAAGUUGGAACACAUCUCUAUUUUUACAAAGGAGAGCUUAGGAAAUAUCAAAUUAUGUAUGGUUGCUUCCUCCUCGUCUUCCCUGAUCACUUGUUCCAUUGCAUUGCAUUCUUUUACUUCUAUCCUUCUUAGUUGCUUCAGGCUCAAAAGCAUAGACGGGGUAAAAAUAUAGUUCAAGCUGCUACAUUUAUAAAUCUCCAUUCUGCUAAGGUUCUUCGACUCCAAGAUUUCUUGAGGGUUUCUUUUCCAUAUUUCUAUCAACUUUGGAAACGUGUCAGAGAUGUUCAAAUCAAAUGGGAUAUUGAAUCCACCCUAAAACAACAAAUCCAUCCAUAUUAUUACGCUCAUAAUUCAAAAAUAAACACUCUUUGUUAGUUAGUCAAGUAGGUUUUAAUUUUUUUUAAAAUGAUGAAAGAAUAGGAAAGAAAAUCGGGCACUAACUUUUAUUGUAUCAAGACAGGAGUAAGCUAGAUAGCAUUAUGAACCAACUCCGUACCUUUUUUGUGUACAACUGAUGUAUGGCGGUAUUCAGGUUCCCUUUCCAACACACAUUUCGAUUGUAACGCUCUUGGUUUACUCUUUGUAAUUGCGGGGUGCUUAAAGCUCCCUCAGAAAAGAUCUUCAAUCUAGGACACCUUUCCACAACUACUUCUUCCAAACAAGGGAAGUUGAAGGUGUAACUCCCUGGACAAAAGCUUGUGAGCCUUUGUAGAUAGCUUAUUUCUAAACAUUUCAAUUUCCUGACAACUAUUGUCUGAUGAUAGUCUCCCUCAUUUGUCACUAUUUCUGUCAUUUCAGUGCAGCCUCUUACCCUCAUUGUUGUUAAUUGCACCAGAUUCUCAACUACUAAGGGUGUAACUAAAUUUGUCAUCAUUUUGCAAUUUGACACCUCCAAAGUUGUGAGAUUUUGGAAAGAUAAUGACGAGGCUCCAAUAUUUUUCAAAUCAUCACAAUACCAAAUUGUGAGUGUUUGGAGAUUAGAGAGAAUAUGACCAAGUUCCGAAUCUUUCCUCCAUACAUGCUUAAGAUUUUUGGAAGAACGCAAUUCCAGAUUUUUUAUUGGUGAGAGAGUCCCAACAUCUCCCUUACAAGGGACUACAUGUUUGAAAUCAAAAUAACUAAACUUUAGACUUUCCAAAUUGUAGAAUCUUCGGAAGAGAGGAAAUAUAUAAGAAGAUCCACUAUGGAAGCCACCACCCACGCGAGGGAACAAAUCCAGUGGACAUUGAUUCAUAUCACUAAAAUUUCGUAACUCAAGUGUCUCUAAAUUGGGAAUGACCUAGGAAACCAAGUAAACAUUAACAAAUGAAGCUCAAUGUUGAUGUACAUGCUUAAAUAAAACCAAUGUAGAGUAAUAGGAAUUUUCUUUUUAAAAAUUUAAGAAAACAGAAUACCUUAUGAAUGAAAACUGAUAAUAAUAAUAAUAAUAAUAAUAAUAAUAAUAAACACAAGUAGAAACCCGAAUGAAGAAUAGGAAGUCUGAAUUAAAAUGCACAAGCAAUCAUUAAGUUUCUGAUUAAACAAAAAAAGGCAGAAUAAUGUAAGUUAAAACAAAAGGCUAAUAUAAUACAUGAUACUUUUACUUUUUUAAUUGCCUACAAAACAAUAAUCUCUUCUCUUAAAUGCUCAAAUUAGUGUGCAACCUUUCAAAUGUUGAUAUAAGCCCAACCUUUAUAAAAAUCUUUAAAUGAACAUUUUUCACUUACUGCAAUUCAAGUUGAGUAAAAAAUAAGUGAAAUGUAAUAUAUUUAGAAUAAUAUACAUGACAGUUGAAUCAAACAUUGCUUGAAAAUAAUAUAAUAUAAUAUAAAUAUAAUUUGAGACAUAAUAUACAUUAUUUGAGAAAACCUUAUUUGAGCACUUUCAAAAAAGUUUUGGAACUUAUUUGAGCACUUUAAAAGGUUUGGUUUUCAUUUGAACAUUUUUGUAAAUGUUAGGCUCUUAUACGAGCAUUUUAAAAAUUUUAACUCUUUUGUGAGCAACCCUUAAAAGGUUAGGCCUCUAUUUGAGCAUUUAGCCUUUUUUUUUAUCCACCUUGUCAUAACACUUUGUACUUUUUCUAUCUUUUUCACAAAAAUAAAAGGUAAACUACAACUAUGGUCACUCUAAAAUAGGGUUUGUCCUAUUUUGGCAACUUCAAUUUUUUUCUCAAUUUAGUCACUUUAAAUAAGAUAACUGUGCAAAUUUGUCACUGUUGUUAAUGGAUUGUUAAUGUGACACAUUAGUCUAUUGAGUGACUGACAAGUGGUUUUUUUUUUAUAAACUAAAGUUUAAGCGCAAAAAGUUUUGGACUAAUUAUAAGGAUGCCUUUAAACUUUAGUCAAAAGUCAAUAAAAAAUUUCACUUGUUAGUCACUCAAUGUGCUAAUAUGUCACAUAACAAUCCAUUAAAAGAAAACAAAAAAUUUAACAGUAAUAACUAACUCACACAAUUAUCUUAUUUAGAGUGUCUAAAUUAAAUUUUUUUUUAAAAAAAUUAAAGUUUGAAAUGGUAUUAUUCUAUUUUUAAAAUAUAUCGUCUCAUAUUUUUUAAAUUUAAUUUUUUUAAAAUGUGUUUCAUAACCAUAUUAACAUUUUAUUUAAUAUAAAAAUUAUAACAAAAAAGUGUUAGAAUAUAAUAAGUAAAUAUAUAACUAUUUAUCACAUAAUGUGGAAAAUAGUAAGUAGAUUUUAUUUGUCAAAAUCUUAUUUUUGAAAUAAAUUAUUUCUUCAUUUUUAGAAAAAUAAAAAUAAAAAAUUUAACUUUUAUUUAAAUAUAAUAUAAAAAUAUAAAAUAUUAUCAUAAUAAUAUUAAUUAUGAUUUUAAAAAUUAAUAUUUAUAUAAUUUCAUAAUUCCAAUGAUGACCCUAAACCAGUAAAUACUUAAAUAUAAGUAUUAGAUAGAUAUCUCCAAAGAAAUGCCUAUCAAAGCAAUGUAAGAUUCAGUUAAUUAAAUUGCAUCAUUAUGGCAUAUAACAACAUAACAUGCAUGUGAUCAUAUACGUACCUCUUCAACCAACAAUACUGCCUCCCCAUUUCCCUUCCUUUCCUGGAUUCUAACAUCUUCUAAACCCACUAUCAUUAGCAAAGCAGAACAAUCCGUGGUCAAUUUUUUCAACAUUGGCCACGCAAUUGUAUGUUGCCCUUUAUAGAAACAUUUGAGCUUUUCUAAGUGUUCAACCAUAAGGGAAGACACUUUGGGAAACUCAAAACUCACAGGCUGCUCCUCUACACCUUCCCCUUCCGAUACAAUCUCCUCCACCCCACACCGAAUUAUCCAUAAUUGUUCAAGUUGCGGAAGAUGUUUGGCUAUUAACGCUGGAAAUAUAUUUUUUAGCCUCUCACAGUUUGAAACACUUAAUUCUCGUAGAUUUUGAAAAGAAUCUGGUGGUAGCUCAUUAUGAAAUAUCAUCUUCGCAUUUAUCAACCCGGAGAUUUUCAUCCUUUCCAAGCUUGGAAUUGCAACCUAUUCAUAUAUAUCAUUCAUGCUCAUAAGAAAGUUAGCUCAUGUAAUGCAGGACGAAUCAACUGAAUCAUAUAUAAGACUAAUGAAAUAAAUAAAUCACCUUCUCAUUGAAGAGAGUAUGCAUGCCGGACUCAAUACUGCUUUCACUAAUGAAUUCUUUUAAUUUCGGGCAAAACCCAAUCGUUAGCUCUUUCAACAAAGGGAAUUCGACAUUAUAAUUUCCUGAGCAGAAGGAGAUGAGGUUUCCAAGGAAAUCCAUACGCAGAAAGUUUAAUCGGGGGAAACAAAUCACAUUAUUCAUUUCUUCUUCUUCUUCUUCUAUUUCCUCUGUAAAUAUUAUCUCCCUUAAGGACUCACAAUGCACUAUCUCAAAGCGGUGGAGCUGCACCAGAC